rnacentral:rRNA from 1 species
UACGGAGGAUGCGAGCGUUAUCCGGAUUUCUUGGGUUUAAAGGGUGCGCCGGCGGAUUUUUAAGUCAGCGGUCAAAUCGCGGGGCUCAACCCCGCCGAGCCGUCGGAACUGGGGGCCUUGAGUGCGGCGGAGGCAUGCGGAAUGCGCGGUGUAGCGGUGAAAUGCAUAGAUAUCACGCAGAACCCCGAUUGCGAAGGCAGCAUACCGGCGCUCAACUGACGCUGAGGCACGAAAGUGCGGGUAUCGAACAGG